UACGAAGGGGGCUAGCGUUGUUCGGAUUUACUGGGCGUAAAGCGCACGUAGGCGGAUCGUUAAGUCGGGGGUGAAAUCCUGGAGCUCAACUCCAGAACUGCCUUCGAUACUGGCGAUCUUGAGUCCGGAAGAGGUGAGUGGAAUUCCUAGUGUAGAGGUGGAAUUCGUAGAUAUUAGGAAGAACACCAGUGGCGAAGGCGGCUCACUGGUCCGGUACUGACGCUGAGGUGCGAAAGGCGUGGGGAGCAAACAGGAUUG
rnacentral:rRNA from 1 species